UACGUAGGGCGCGAGCGUUGUCCGGAAUUAUUGGGCGUAAAGAGCUCGUAGGCGGCCUGUUGCGUCCGCUGUGAAAUCCCGGGGCUUAACCCCGGGCGUGCAGUGGAUACGGGCUGGCUGGAGGCAGGCAGGGGAGAACGGAAUUCCCGGUGUAGCGGUGAAAUGCGCAGAUAUCAGGAGGAACACCGGUGGCGAAGGCGGGUCUCUGGGCAGUAACUGACGCUGAGGAGCGAAAGCGUGGGGAGCAAACAGG
rnacentral:rRNA from 1 species